UUUUUUUUUGGUGAGUUCAAGGAAUUCAAGAACUCCUUUCUAAUACACUAGACCUAAUCUAUCAGCUUUCAUCCAACUAAUAUCCAUAACAAAAUCUAAAACUUAUAUCAAAAGACAAAUGUGAAUGUCACACUAAUGCUACAUGAAUGGUAUCGUAACUAUAAUCCCACGGUGAAUUAACAAAAAUGUUAUAUCCAAUCCCUUGGUGUAUAGCUCACUAAUCUAUACUUGGAGUUUUUUAUCCCUAGUCCACCAGCGUAAGCAAGAUUAGGCAAUACAAUAGAGCGUUAAUUCUGAAGUCGUUACUCAGAGUUUUCUAUCCCUAGUCCACCAGCGUAAGUACAACAAUUUCCCUAGGUCCAACAUAUAGAUUAAUCGUCAGUAUUUCCUAUGUGCCAAAAAUUAGAUUAAAAGAUUAUAUCACAUAAAAAGUAUUAAGAACAAAUUGCAAUUGAAUAGAAUGAUAGAUCAAAUUACUCAUGCAAUAUGAAAUCAAACAUAUGUCCAAACAAUAUCAAAAUAGGUUCAUCAAACACAACCUAACCUAAAGAAAACUAGAUACUAAUAAGGCAAAUUACAAUACCAAAAUCAAAUAAGAAGGUUUCAUAAGAAAUUCCUUCAAGAAUUGGCCUCCAAUGGCGUUGAAUGCUCUCCAAAUAUCCCAUCUGGUGCUGCAAACCCUUGCCAAGACGUGUAACAUUCAUAACCCUAGAAAACAAUACCAACUUUCCCCUUUUAAAGCCUUCAGAAUGGAUCAGAACGUGUCAGAAAAAGGUACCAUCGUGCGCGUGAUUAUGCCAUCGUGCACACAAUUUUGUACAUCUUGUAUCAUGCGUGAGAUACUACCCAUCGCACGUGUGAUUGUUCCAGAAGUUGGAUAUUCCUAUUAGCUUCAUUUUUCAAAAAAAACCCGUCUCAAAAAGAGUUACGGAACUCCAUAUAUGAUCAAUUUACUUGACACACGUCAAGAUGUAGAUUGUGAUGAAAAUACCUGUUUCUUCAUAAUUUCUUCUUGAUUUCUUGGUUUUGCUCUAUUUCUUCGACUUCUUCACUUUAUUAAUAUUUAUUAUAUUUAUAUCAUAUUAAAUUUUAAAUUCCAUUGAAUUCAUCAAAAAUACUCAUAGAAAUCAUGUAAUGAGCAUCACCAAUUGUGUUACCUGAUCAUCAUUCCAGAUUCCGAUUUCAAUCUAGCAGAUUUAGAAAAGUUCUUCCAACAUAACAAGUACUUAACCUAUCUCCCAGCUCAUUAAUUUUUCACUGGAAUUGACAGGGUAAUCACACAAUCAACGUAAAAAAAUAGUUUACCAUAAGUUUGUAAAAUUUCUAAUAAAAUCAAUCAAAUGCAUCUAAACACACACUUUUGGAGGCCUUUCAAGGUUGUAAUGGGACUUAUGUCAGGGUAGAAUAAUUUGGGAUAGUAGGCUUAAACCUUUGGGUUAGGUACCUAGUUUUCCUUAUUUUAUCAUAUUCCUUUUUAUAACAACUGUUACUUAAUUACUUUGGUACUAGAGAUUAAUAUUUUAUAGUCCUAAACAUUAUUUUUCUCAUUUUUUUGAAGAAGUUUCUUUGACUUCUUGAUUUUUCUCAUUUUUAUUUUUGAAUUUUUGACCAAAAUCUCUAGUACACCAACCCCAAACUUAAGCUUUGCUCACUUCUAAGAGCAACCCCAAACCUAUUCUUUUGUAUAUGACCAAGAAACUAAAUUUUCUACCUAACUCCAAAGAGAGGGUGGAAAGAUUUAAUCUUUCAAGUCAAUUGGCUAAUUAUUAUGGCAAUGUCACCGAAAGAAAGGGCUUAGACUCAAAGUGGUUAGCAAAGGAUAUAAACAUGAUAUACGGGUUAUAUUAAAAAGACUCAAAGUUUACUAUAAACAAGUGUCUCAAUGUGUAUUUAUCAAAAUAAUAUAUUAAAAUAGAAAUAAUAUAAAUUCUAGAAAAUAGAAAUUGUACGGAUACUCUCAUAAGAAGGAAAAGUAAACAAUGGAAUAUUUGGCUCAAAUAUUACUAGUUGAGGUAUUUGCAGAUUGAGUACAAGGUAGUUGGUUGUUCCUUUCUUCCUCAAUUCUCAAUCCGCAAGGAACUUUCCUGAUGAUCACCUUUGUUUUUGAUGAUGCUUAUGGUUCAUCUGUUCACUGCUAAAAUUAUAAUUUUAUAAAUCUGAAAGAAACAAUAGCAACAAACUUGUUUAUUAAAGACAAACAUAAACUUAUUGGUGCAAAAGAGAACCAAGUAUUGUAGCUAAUACUCUAGAUUUACUUGAGAGAUUGACUUGUUGGACAUAAAAGGGAAUCGCAGAAAUUAAUACAAAUUCAAAAAACUAAAAUUAACAUGUCAUUGGAGUGGAAAAAGUCUUGCACGUCUUGCAAGGUGUUGUUGAAGUCUUGGUUCUGUUUGGUCCACUCUGGCCUCAUCUGAUUAAUGAUGAUGCUCGAGAGAAUCGCCUUCUCUUUGGACUCAUUUCCUGAAACAAGAACAACGCUAGAAAGUGAAAAGAGAUUUAAAAAAUAAUAGGAUUAGAGAGACUUUUUAGUCUCUCUUUCUUCUUUCAAUCCCUUUCUCAAGUCUUUCUCCUACUGCCCCUAAAUGUGACAUGCUACAAAACAAAAACAAUUAAUCAAAAUAAACUGAAAUUUAAAUUUUGCAAAUGAAAUAAAAAUUUAUCUGAUAGGUUGCCUCCCAUUAAGCGCUUCUUUAAAGUCCUAAGCUUGACCUUUCGAUUUUUAUGUUAGGGCGGCAUAUAUGACAAGCAUUGAAGGUUUUUCUUCCAUAUUCUAUUCAACUUGAUAGUAUUGAACAAGGCAUAAAUCUCAUCCAAUACUUCAUCUAUUUCUCCUCUUUUAUCAGCCUUGUUUCCAGGUGUAGGACUAUUGUUUUGUUGAAGAUGUUGUAGUUGGAUAUCUAGGUCUAAACGAAUUAUUGAAAUUGAAGUUUCCUCUCAAACGAUACAAUCUUCAUCUUACAUUCUUGCUCUUAUCCCACAUAUCAUUUUUACCUUUGUUGCUUCUAUUUUUACUUAUAUCUUUUUAUUAGGUGCUUUGCAAAUUUCUUCUUCUUUCUCUUUUUCAACUCCCCCUUCAUCAAAUACCUCACAUUUAUGUUUGACUUUUCUUUCAAUUUCUGCAUCUCUAGGACUAUCUAACAUAUUUUCAUAAAACUCCCCACUAGAUAUCAAUUUUAAUGCUAAUUAGCUAGAUAUUUGACCAAGUUGCAACUCUAAAUUCUCGAAGGAUGUUUCCAGUUUACGUCGCACGGUUUCUUGAUGUCUGUUGAUUUUCUCAAAAUUGAGUUGAUUGAUCUUUAUAAUUUUAGUCAAGGUUUUUUCAAGCUGAGAUGAUGAUCAGUGUAAGGCUCUGGCUAUGAAUAAAUUUUCGCAUUUUGUUGAAUUAGAGUUUUUGCUGCAAGUUCCUUUAAAUAAGCUUCAAAUUUUGCCAAGGUAGCAUAUAUGUCCUCUUGCAUGACUGUCUUGACCUCACAUACGAAACAAAAAGAAGAACACCUUAGUAGCGUUGCACUAGAUAAAAAAAUUUAAACAAAAAUAAAACUAAUAAGAGAAAGAGUAGGAAAUAAUAUUUAAGAAGAAACAAAAAUAACUAAUUACCAAAAAAAAAUAUUUACAAUUGAAAACAAAACAAAAUUAAAAAAAUAAUAAUUAAACGUUGUACAAGCGUCGCCUUGUUGCAAUUAUCAACAAUCCCCGACAACGGCGCCAAAAACUUGAUGAAUUCUAGGCAAGUGUACUGAUAAUCUCGCAAUAAUAAAAAAGAUCGAAUCCACAUGGACUGAUAUUUAACAAGACAAUAGUGUGCAAUGCGUAGAAAAUGGUAAAUUGGGAGGGGGGUUCACGUUUUAAAUGCAAAAAGAAAAUAAAGUGUUCUUACAGUAAUGUGAAAGCAGACAGGUUGUGUAUAGAAUCUCAUAUUUCUCUAUUGUUGAUGUUCGAUGCAUUAUAUGAACGGUAUCGUAACUAUAAUCCCACGAUGAAUUAACAAAACUGUUAUACUCAAUCCCUUGGUGUAUAGCUCAUUAAUCUAUACUCAGAGUUUUCUAUCCCUAUUCCACCAGCGUAAGCAAGAUUAGGCAAUGCAAUAGAGCGUUAAUUCCUAAGCCACUACUCAAAGUUUUCUAUGUCAGUCCACCAGCGUAAGCACAACAAUUACGCUAGGUCCGACACAUAGGCUAAUGGUCAAUAUUUCCUAUGUGCCUAAAAUCAGAUUAAAAGAGUAUCUCACACAAAAAGCAUUAAGAACAAGAUGCAAUUGAAUAUAAUUAUAGAUCAAAUUACUCAUGCAAUAUCAAAUCAAACAUAUGUCAUAAAAAUAUCAAUAUAAUCUCAUCAAACCAAACCUAACUUAAAGAGAAUUAGCUACUCAUAGGUCAAACUAUAAUACCAAAAUCAAAUAAGAAGGUUGCAUAAGAAAUCCCUUGAAGAAUUGUCCUUCAAUGGCUUCAAUUGUUCUCCAAAAAUCCCCUCUGGUGCUGCAGACCCUUGUUAGAACAUGUAAAAUUCAGAACCCUUGACAAAAUACCAACUUUACCCUUUUAAAGCCUUCAGGAGGAUCAGAACGCAUCAGAAAAGGCCCAGAAAAAGGUAUCAUCGCGCGCAUGAGUUUUCAUCGCGCACACAAUUUUACACACAGUGUAUCAUGCACGUGAUACUGCUUAUCGCGUUCGUGAUUAUUCCAGAAGCUAGACAUUCCUUUUAGCUUCAUUUUGAAAGAAAAAAAUCGUCUCAAAACAAGUUACGAAACUCCAUACACGAUCAAUUUAAUGGACAGACGUCAAGAUGUAGAUUGUGCUGAAAAUUACUCGUUUCUUCAUAAUUUCUUCCUGAUUUCUUGGUUUUGCUCUAUUUCUUCGACUUCUUCACCUUAUUCAUAUUUAUUCAUAUUUAGCUCAUCUUUAAAUUGAAAAUCCCUUGAAUUCAUCGCAAGUAGUCAUAAAUCAUGUAAGGACAAACUGUCAUCAUGUAUUGUAAUCGAAGAGGGUGACAAUUUUGUUUCUAUAAAUGAUAUUCGUUUCCAGAAAUGAACGAAGAUGGUGAGUAUGAACGAAAUGAAGUACCUGUUAUAUUUUAAUUUUGUAGGAAAUAAUUUUACAAUGAUUGAAUGAAACAAUCGUAAUUAUUAUACUUUCAAUUUGUAAAUAAGAAUAAAUGUGAAGGGAUACGCGCUUAUUUUUAUUGAAAAAAUAGAAAAAUGUUGAUGCUGAGAUUUGAAGCUUGUCAUCUAAAUUCUAUGACCUCGGUUAUUUUUAGGAACCGUGAUGAAAAGUUUCUUAAUAAAAUAAAAUAAAAACAUGCGCAUAAAAAAAAAGACAUAUGACUACGGAGGCAAAAUAGUCGUUAUAAUAUUGUGACACCGAAGACAUAUUUUCUAGUAGUGUUUUCUUGUUAUUUUCCCUUGUCAGAUUUUUUUUCUCCUUUAUUUUCUUGUUUUAUUUAUCUCGCUGUCUUUUUCAUCCUUUUGAGUAUUUACCAUUUGAAAUCUAUUUUUCUUGUGUAAUUGAAUUUGAUAUCUUUAAUUUAAAGAACUAAAAAGAGCAAUUGAGUGGAAAAAAAUAAGAGUGUGUAUUAUAAAAAAAAGACUAAAUUUGAGUGUAAACACGUGAAGAUUAUUAUUAUUAUUAUUAUUAUUAUUAUUAUUAUUAUUAUUAUUAUUAUUAUCACGUGAUUAACCAUGUCAAGUUUAGGUGGUGAUGAUAGUCCUCGCUGAAUAGAAGCUAAUAAAUUAUUAUUAGAAGGCAUCACAACUCAAAUGAGAGAGAUAAUGAUAUAACUAACAUAGAAAAUACAUGAGAGGAUUAACCGAUUAGAAAACCUACCAAAUAAUACUAAUGAAGAGGACAGAUUAAUGAUAAGGAUAGAGGGAAUGCUUAGACUGAAAAUAUUGAGUGGAUAAAAACUAAACUUCCAACAUUUCAAAGGAGAAAUGAUUCAGAGACUUAUUUAAAGUAAGAAACAAAAAUUGAACAAAUUAUUUAUUGUAAUACCUAUACUAAUGUUCAAAAAGUGAAAGUUGUUGCACUUGAAUUUACAUUAUGUCUUGGUAUUGUGUGAUCAUACUGUCAAAAAAAUAUAAGAUUUGGAGAACCAGUCAUCAACACUUGGGGGAGAUGAAAAGAAUUAUAAGAAGACGAUUUGUGUUUUCCUGUUAUGAUAGAAACUUGAAUAAUAAAUUACAGAGGCUCACUCAAGGUUCUAAAAGUGUGAUUAAUAUUACAAAUAGAUGGAGGUCCCAAAGAUAAGAGACAAUUUGGAGGAAGAUAAUGGAGUAACCAUGGCUGGAUUUCUUCAUGGUUUAAAUUGUGACGUAAGUGACAUAGUAGAGAUUCAUCACUUUGUAUAAGUAGAUGAUUUGGUGUAUCAAGCUAUCAAAGUAAAAUAACUCAAAAUAAAGGGCCUAGGAGGGAGUAACACUAUCACUUUCAAUACUCAAAAUUGGAAAGACAAAACAAAGAAGAAAGGUGUUUUAUCAUCUAAGGAAGUCUCAGUUGAGAACAAAAGUAAAGUUAUUAUUUCUUCUUCAAGUGUGUUAACUAACAAAAGUGUUACGUGUUUCAAAUAUUAAUUCCAAGGACAUGUUGUAUCUCAAUGUUCAACAAAGAGAAUUGUGCUUAUGGAGGAAAAUAAAGUAGUUAUUGAAGAAGGGGUGAUAAAUAUGAUGAGAACGAAGAAGAAAUACCUAGUUGAGAAUUACUCAUGGUGAAGAGAAUAUUGAGAUGCCAAAUUAAGGAGGAUGCUACAAGUCAAAGAGAAAACCAUUUUCACACAAGAUGCCUAGUGCAAGAAAAGAUAUGUUAUUUAAUUAUUGAUGGAGGAAGUUGUACUAAUGUUGCUAGAACAUUUUUGGUUUUCAAACUUAAUUUAGAAAUAAAACAUCACCCUAAGACUUACAAACUCCAAUGACUUAAUGAAAAUGUAUAAAUUUUUGCUAAUAAUUAAGUUGAGAUUUGUUUAAAACUUAAAAUUAUGAUGAUGCAGUGUUGUGUUGUAUGAUGCAGUGUCAAUGAAAGUUAGUCACUUUUUACAUCUCCAUGAUCUUCUAUUUCAUUUCUCCAAUAAUGCUCUAGAAUCAUAAUUAGAUCCAAGUUAAUUGGAUGUUCUCUAGAAAUAAGAGGUUUAAUUCUCUUUUUAAUAUCUUCAAUAUUCUAGUCUUUAAAGAAGACAACAUAUUUUCUAAAAACUUUUUCUCGACAGUAUCUCAUAACCUGUACUCAAUACUUCAUUUCUAAAACCCCAAGAACAUGAUUCUUUCGACUUGGAGUCGAGUUUUGAUCUCCCAUCAUUUGGGACAUGAAAAAAUGAUCUAUAAUCGGACACUUGUAAAUGAUUGUGGGAUACAUCUUUACCUAAUUAAAACUUGUUUGAAAUUUCAAAUCAACUGCACUAGGCAUCAACCUUGAUUUUUACCCGAGAUAACGUUGUUAGCACCCUUUCAAUAAUAGUUAUUUCAUCCUCUCAACCACACUGUCAUGUUGAGGCAUCUUUGUAUCAGAUUUCAUUGCUCAUCCAAUACUGCUUGAAAGCUCUCAUGCACUUAGUUUCUCCUCACUUGACACCAACUUGAAACUGUGUAAAUACUACAAACACCUAGUUUCGCCUAAUCUUGUUGCUUGUAAUCUAACAUAGAGAAUUGUCCAUUAAGAGUGUUUGAUGAUAGUUAGAGAAGAGAUGAAGAAAAUAUUAUGAGAAUUAUGUAAGAGAUCAAAUUACAUGAGUAACAUAAAACUUCACUAUUACAUAAAGAUGACAUGCAAUAAAUAUAACACUUUCCAAGAAUAAACAACAAUCAAAUUACUCAAGAAACCCUAAAUAGAAAAAUCAAUCAAAAGUAACAUAUAUUAUUAUUAUGACUUGAUCAAUCUACUUCAAGUGAUAUAAAGAUGAACAUUAAGAACAACAAAGAACAACAUAAGAAGCAAACCAUAAAUAACAGCGUGUACAAAAAUUGAUGCAAUAGUUGUCUUCAUGUUCAAAAACUCAAAGGGUGCAUUCUUCCCUGGAAGUUGAAAGAUCAUUCCUGGUGAUAAUAGCCAAAACAGUGCUGCAGCUAUGAGAGGAGGAGCCCAAUCAUUCAUUGUAUUAAUCUCAAGUAGAAGAAAAAAUGCUAGUAAGAGAACAUAUUAAAAGUAUAGCUAUUAUUAAUGUUGUGUUUGUUAUUCUGUCCCUAAAGAAAAGGAAUUGGAAUCCUAUAAAGUUAACAUAAAAAUCAACAAUAAUUUACUUUAACAUAUGUUCUCUCCUUUUUAUCCGGG
rnacentral:lncRNA from 1 species